rnacentral:rRNA from 1 species
UGGGGAAUAUUGCGCAAUGGGGGGAACCCUGACGCAGCCAUGCCGCGUGAAUGAAGAAGGCCUUCGGGUUGUAAAGUUCUUUCGGUAUUAAGGAAGGUUGAUGUGUUAAUAGUACAUCAAAUUGACGUUAAAUACAGAAGAAGCACCGGCUAACUCCGUGCCAGCAGCCGCGGUAAUACGGAGGGUGCGAGCGUUAAUCGGAAUAACUGGGCGUAAAGGGCACGCAGGCGGUUAUUUAAGUGAGGUGUGAAAGCCCCGGGCUUAACCUGGGAAUAGCAUUUCAGACUGGGUAACUAGAGUACUUUAGGGAGGGGUAGAAUUCCACGUGUAGCGGUGAAAUGCGUAGAGAUGUGGAGGAAUACCGAAGGCGAAGGCAGCCCCUUGGGAAUGUACUGACGCUCAUGUGCGAAAGCGUGGGGAGCAAACAGGAUUAGAUACCCUGGUAGUCCACGCUGUAAACGCUGUCGAUUUGGGGGUUGGGGUUUAACUCUGGCGCCCGUAGCUAACGUGAUAAAUCGACCGCCUGGGGAGUACGGCCGCAAGGUUA